UACGUAGGUGGCAAGCGUUGUCCGGAUUUACUGGGCGUAAAGAGCGCGCAGGCGGUCGUUCAAGUCGCGUGUGAAAGCCCCCGGCUCAACUGGGGAGGGUCACGCGAUACUGAUCGACUGGAAGGCAGGAGAGGGUAGUGGAAUUCCCGGUGUAGUGGUGAAUGCGUAGAUAUCGGGAGGAACACCAGUGGCGAAGGCGGUUGCCUGGAGCUUUGCUGACGCUGAGGCGCGAAAGCGUGGGGAGCGAGUCCGG
rnacentral:rRNA from 1 species